UAACGAAUAUUCACUGAGCUCCUUUGGCCGGCAGAGCAUUUAAAAAGCGAAUUUUGACAUUUUGACUUAAAGUGUCCCACUGUAAGACAUAAAAUACAUAUUACAGGGAAAACUUAAUUUAACUAUAGUUUUCAAAAUAUUUCCCUUUUUGUUUGCGAACAAUUUCUUCUUCUUAAAGUGGUUAUUAUUGUUGUUAUCAUUUUUUCCCAGCACAUGUAGUAAGAACAUCGCAAUAGUACAUUUUAUCAUACGUUAUUUCAGUUGUAUACGAUUUUCUAAAAUGCCUUAAUUUCGAGACGGCUAAACAUGACUUUAAGUAGGAAAGAUUACAUUAGUCUAAUUAAUUCUUAACCAAAAAUCAAGAUGUUCGUUUUAAAAUAAAGUCAAAACUCGUCAGUAAUUCGUAUAUUUUUUAUAGGUUUAGUGUAACAAUGCAUUUGGGAUUACAGUUAACCUUUUGCGUUAUUACUUAAUGUCGAUAAAUAAUCCUAUUAACAUUUAAUAUAUAUUAUCUAAUAUUUUUCACAGUCGCCAAUGAUUAAAUUUUGAAAUACAUAAAAUAUGUGUAUGUCCUGCAUAUAUUGAGUUUUGUACAAUGUCUCCGGUGUGUGUUGCUCUUGAUUAAAUAUAUCAAUAUAAUUGCAAACUUUCCAGACAAAUUCUGAUUUAGUGCUGUUUUCAGGUUCUGAUUUUUACAUACUCCUACUUGUCAUCGCUGGCUAAUCCGUCUGAUUUGAUCAGAUCCACGAGAAGGUUUUACAACGAGGUCACGUCUAAUGACGUAGCUCGGAAUAUUUGCUACGUGCAGCCAUAUUUAAAUACAUCAAGCAAAUUAGUGCAUCAAAAUAUGCAAAUCCAGCUCGCAUAGUCUUUCUCCCAGCAGACGGACUAAUGCUCCCGAACAUUCUCUUGUUUCUUCAUUAGCGUUUUAAAGGUGGUUCAGUUGCUUUUUCCUUUCUAAAAUUCUUUUAUUUUUCCUUCUUUUCGUAACCUUUCGUAGCUCCGAUUAACUGUACCAGGCGCCUUGCGAAUCCAGGAGUAUGUCGCGUAUGGCAGAAGCGGAGAAUCCCGUUGGAAAAAUCGUCUAUGCAUAAUGAGACAUCUGCCGCGCCGUUCUCACAAGGUUGACGCCGUUGGCUCCUGCGUCUGUUUUAUUUUUUAUUUUGAUGCAUUUGUGAGGAAUUUGUUCGUGUGACUGAGGAGUUGAUGCAGCUCGGAGAAACUUGGGUUGGAAGAAUUAAAACAAGAAAAAAUGCCAUCGAAAUGUGCCUGUAAUUUGUGAAAAUAUCCGCUGUUUAACAAUUUUAAAAAUGGGUAGAAUAGUUUUAAAUGCUCGUACGACCUCUAGUGGUGCAUAAUUAUUACACUCGCGAGAUUUAAAAAAAAAAACCGCCGAAUAUCGAUGGAUUCCACAUUUUUAAAACUCAGUGUUUGUAGUGGUGUUAUAUAUUAGUUUAAACUGAGAGAAUGAUGCUCAUAUAUGAUAAAACAUUAAGUAAUGUUUCCUUGUGACGCAAUAAAUGUGUAAUUCACUU